rnacentral:rRNA from 1 species
AAUGAACGUUGGCGGCGUGGAUUAGGCAUGCAAGUCGUGCGGGAACCGUAGCUUGCUACGGGGAGAGCGGCGAAAGGGAUAGUAAUGUGUAGAUUAUCUGCCCCCUGGUCAGGGAUAGCGGUGGGAAACUGCCGGUAAUACCUGAUAAAUUCUCCGGAACAAAGGUGAGAUUCCGCCGGGGGAUGAGUCUACAUCCUACUAGCUUGUUGGUAAGGUAACGGCUUACCAAGGCUUAGAUGGGUACCGGGCGUGAGAGCGUGACCCGGAUCACUGGGACUGAGAUACUGCCCAGACACCUACGGGUGGCUGCAGUCGAGAAUCUUCGGCAAUGGACGAAAGUCUGACCGAGCGACGCCGCGUGCGGGACGAAGGCCUUCGGGUUGUAAACCGCUGUCAAGUUGGAGGAAAUGCGUGGGGGUCAUCCCCUGCGUUUGACCGAUAGCAAAAGGAAGGACGGGCUAAGUUCGUGCCAGCCGCCGCAGUAACAC